GAUGAACGCUGGCGGCGUGCCUAAUACAUGCAAGUCGAGCGAACGGACGAGAAGCUUGCUUCUCUGAUGUUAGCGGCGGACGGGUGAGUAACACGUGGAUAACCUACCUAUAAGACUGGGAUAGCUUCGGGAAACCGGAGCUAAUACCGGAUAAUAUUUUGAACCGCAUGGUUCAAAAGUGAAAGACGGUCUUGCUGUCACUUAUAGAUGGAUCCGCGCUGCAUUAGCUAGUUGGUAAGGUAACGGCUUACCAAGGCAACGAUGCAUAGCCGACCUGAGAGGGUGAUCGGCCACACUGGAACUGAGACACGGUCCAGACUCCUACGGGAGGCAGCAGUAGGGAAUCUUCCGCAAUGGGCGAAAGCCUGACGGAGCAACGCCGCGUGAGUGAUGAAGGUCUUCGGAUCGUAAAACUCUGUUAUUAGGGAAGAACAUAUGUGUAAGUAACUGUGCACAUCUUGACGGUACCUAAUCAGAAAGCCACGGCUAACUACGUGCCAGCAGCCGCGGUAAUACGUAGGUGGCAAGCGUUAUCCGGAAUUAUUGGGCGUAAAGCGCGCGUAGGCGGUUUUUUAGUCUGAUGUGAAAGCCCACGGCUCAACCGUGGAGGGUCAUUGGAAACUGGAAAACUUGAGUGCAGAAGAGGAAAGUGGAAUUCCAUGUGUAGCGGUGAAAUGCGCAGAGAUAUGGAGGAACACCAGUGGCGAAGGCGACUUUCUGGUCUGUAACUGACGCUGAUGUGCGAAAGCGUGGGGAUCAAACAGGAUUAGAUACCCUGGUAGUCCACGCCGUAAACGAUGAGUGCUAAGUGUUAGGGGGUUUCCGCCCCUUAGUGCUGCAGCUAACGCAUUAAGCACUCCGCCUGGGGAGUACGACCGCAAGGUUGAAACUCAAAGGAAUUGACGGGGACCCGCACAAGCGGUGGAGCAUGUGGUUUAAUUCGAAGCAACGCGAAGAACCUUACCAAAUCUUGACAUCCUUUGACAACUCUAGAGAUAGAGCUUUCCCCUUCGGGGGACAAAGUGACAGGUGGUGCAUGGUUGUCGUCAGCUCGUGUCGUGAGAUGUUGGGUUAAGUCCCGCAACGAGCGCAACCCUUAAGCUUAGUUGCCAUCAUUAAGUUGGGCACUCUAAGUUGACUGCCGGUGACAAACCGGAGGAAGGUGGGGAUGACGUCAAAUCAUCAUGCCCCUUAUGACUUGGGCUACACACGUGCUACAAUGGACAAUACAAAGGGCAGCGAAACCGCGAGGUCAAGCAAAUCCCAUAAAGUUGUUCUCAGUUCGGAUUGUAGUCUGCAACUCGACUACAUGAAGCUGGAAUCGCUAGUAAUCGUAGAUCAGCAUGCUACGGUGAAUACGUUCCCGGGUCU
rnacentral:rRNA from 1 species